rnacentral:lncRNA from 1 species
AUUUGAGAGAGGCGACGAAGGUUUUUAGGGGUGGAGAGGAAGGAAAUGCGGUGACCCCUUUGAACUAAGUGGCUGGAGAGAUGAAGAAAAGGUAAGAAGUGGCCAAAGGCCAGCCAUGGGAACACAGCUAUGUGAAGCUUCUGAUGCUCUUUCUUCAUCUCAUCCAUGGCAAUGGAGUUGUGAGUUGUGAGAGAAAUGAUCAAGAUUCAAAACUUUGGGUAGAGCAGUGAUGUGAAGUUGCAGAAAGAGUUGUCGACUUGUGCUCAUCAUCAAAGGAGCAGCGCACCAUGGAUGGAUGUCCCGCUGUACUUUUAUUGGACCCUUAUCGUUAAAUCCUAUCACUCAUCCCCGCAAUGGUAAGCCAAGGGGAAAAAGUGUGUUUUGGUGAGAGGGUUUUGAAAAAAGAAAGAAAAAGGAAGAUAAAAUCCUUUAAAAAAUAAUUAAAAUUUUCAUUUCAUCAUCUCUCCUGUUAAACAAAUAUUCGAUUUUUAUAUUAAAAUAUAAAAAAUUUGAUUUAAUUAAAAUUUUAUUUUCAAAUUAUUUAAUCUUUACAUCAGAUAAUUAAAAUAAGUUAAAUGACUUUUAAAUAACAUAUGAAAAUAAUUUAUUAAUUAAAUUUUUUUUUUCUUCCAAUUUUUUCUUCUUAGAGACACAACUUUUCCCAUGAGAAAAGGUAGGAUCUUAAUUAUUGAGCGUGGCGGUGAGAUUUUGAAAUGAAAAUUGAUGGUCCUUGGAAACUAUUACCCGACUUGAAAUAGUUUUCUAUAUGCUAAAAUGAUUAAAUGAAAUAAUUUUUUUUGAGAUUUUAAAAAAAAAUAUAUAUUGUUUUUGGGAAUAAAAUUGAGAUAUCUUCAAUUAUAUUUUAAAAGUGUUUCAAAAAAUAAUUUACAAGAAUUAAUUUUUUUUUACAUUAUACAUUAUGUGCACAAAAUUCAUGAAAAAUAAUUAAAUUUUUUUUUUUCAAUGUUUUCAGAAUUGGAUUAAUCAUUAAAUUGAAAAGUUAUGGAUUUAUGGUUCAAUAGUUUGAUUGAUAGUUAAAUCGCGAUUGAACUGGUGAUGUAAUAAAUAUAUAAUUUAUAUAUUAUAUAAAAUUAAAAUUAUUUAUAAAAUUUAAUAUUAAAAAAUAAUAAUAAUUCAUUUUUAUAUAAUUCAUUUUAUCAAAUUAAAUUGGUAAUAAUAAAUAUAAAUAUAUUAAUAUUUUAAAUUUUAUUAAUUAAAAUAAUACACAUAUAAUAUUUUAAAGAAAAAUUAUAUGUUUAAAAUUGUAUAUUUUUUAUUUUAUAAUAUUUAAAAACAUUAUAUUAUUCUCAUAAAUAUUAUUAUAUAAUAAGUAUAAUUAUUUAAGGGUUUUAAAUAAUAAAAAUUUGAAAGAAGCAUUACUUUCCAAAUCCCAAUAGUCUAACAAUGCUUUUGAUAAGUUGGAGGUCCGAGGGUGAGUCCUCAGACAAACAGAAAAAAAAAAAAAAAGCUCAUGGAUCAUAAGCAAUAGGGCCUAUGAGGCUUGGCUUGGAUGGAAUAAUUAGAUAAUUCAAAAAUUAAGUUUAUUCUAUUAAUGUUUCCAUAAAUUACAAUAUUAUUAGAGAAAUUUUCAUGUGUGACAAAAUAAUAUUGUUAGAAUCACUUUAAAAAAUUCAAAACUAUAUUAUGAAAAAAAAAAAAAAAAAACAAUUAUGCCACUGUAAACCUCAUUUUUUUGUGUAGUUUUUUUAUUAUUUUUGUAGCACUUUGCUGUCAGCGUGUUUUAGAGUGGGGGACGACUGUGAGUUACAUGCAUGGGACAUGUGCCAAGACACCACCACCUUGCCAUGGUGGUAGUUGAGAUGGGGACUCCUUUUGAACAGAUGACAGAGGAGUGGGUGGUGAGCAGUAAAAUUGGUGAAGACUGGAGGUGAAAGAAAAACAGAGCAUGGGUGGGCUGUUUUGAGGGGGUACCAGCUAUGAAGAAGGGAGGGAGAAAAACGAGCAGCGGAGGGGGAUUUUUCUGGGAGAAAAAUCUGGAGAGUGGGUGCUGGGUUUUUGUGGCAGCUGAGGGAUUUUAGAAAGAAAAAGAAGAAGAGAGGUGAGCUGAAAUUUGGGGGGGCGGUGGGGGAACGCGUCUGAAAAUAGAGCAAGAGGAGAGGUGGAGUGAAAACGGGGAGAACGGUUUUUUUGAAAGAAAACAGAGCAAGAGGAAGGUUGUCCACGGGUGAGCGGUUUUUGAGGGAGGCGCCUGAAAACAGAGCAAGGGGAGAGCUGGAAGGAGAAACGGAGGACGUUUUUUUUAAGGAAAAAACAGGCAGCAACUGGAGAGAGAGAUCUAGGAGAAAAACGGAGCACUUGAAGCCAAGUGUGCUUGGCUCAAGAGGAGACACCCAUGUUCAUUGUGAACCGUGUAUUUUCUUAUUUUUGGAUGCCAUUUUACCUGAUGUCUCUGUUAACUUUUGGGUCGUUCUUGCUGGUCCUUCCAUGUUCGUUUCCUUGGCUUACCUUGAAAACUGGUGAGGUUUUUUUUAUCAUGUUCAUUGCGGGGCAUUCUGAAGAUCAACGCAUUUGCUCUACUGGGUGUCAUAUCUGCAUUGUAUUUGUUUUUGGCUUUUGCCUAUUCUGUUCUUCUUUGCAACAUACAUAUAUAUAUAUAUAUAAAAUGAAAGAUAUGGUAGUGUGCUCGAUGGGAGUGAACAGAGUAGGGCAGUCCCACAUAGAUUUUGUUGGGGAACGGAUUUAAAAGUAUGGAAAUCACACCCCUUUUUUUUAGGUUUCUAGGAUUUUUGAGUUUCGGGCUAGGUGGGUUUCUUCUUUUGGUUGGUUUUGCCACUCCAAAUGGCUCUCGUUCCACACUUUUUGAUUCACGUUCAGCAUUUCUCUACUUAGGCCUAUGUUUGGUGGCUGGGAAUUUAUAAGAAACUGAUUUUAGGAUCUGGGUAUUUGGUUAUAUGAGAUGAUCUUAAGAACUGUUUGAGGUUUCUACAAACUGCCUUGCAUUUUCAUAUUAUAAACCCAACACCUCUGGUUUGUUGGAAAUGAGUUUGAAAAAAUAAUAAUUGAGCAACUUGGGGCUUAAUUAAAAGUGUGACCCACAUUCCGAAAAUGUCGGGACCAUGCACCAACGCGUUCUCCUCCGUAAGAGUAUAACGUGGUAUAUUUAUUUGUUCAAAUCCAUUAAGUAUUGAAUGAGAAAAUUGACUCCAAAGUCACCCACUUGAAAUUAUAUAUUUAAGGAAACUUGGUAUAAACUUACCAUAAACACUUUAUCCCACGUAGGAAGGAAGUGUGAGGGGAAUGUGAAGAGUUUAUAUAUUGAAUUUUUGCACUAUAGGAACGGCCCAAGGGGCACCCUAAGUUUGUAAAGGGGAGGACCUACAUGGGUGUAGGCUUGUGUGGGUUUAACCCACACGGGCGCAGCCGCCCGGGCCCAUGGGUCUUGGGCUUGGGCUUGCUAUAUAUAUAUAUAAUUUUUGGGCAAAAAUCAUUUAAGUUUCUGGGUCGGGGUUAUCCGUUGGCUUUUCAUAAUUAAGAUUCAUUGUUAGAGUGUGCCUAUUCCGAACAGGUUCAUGACUAUUCCAAACAGGUACGUGUCUAUUCCGAAUAGGUUUAUACCUAUUCUAAACAGACACUAGGAAGUCUAUAAAUAGACUUUCUACCUCGGCAUUAAUAAAAUAAAAAAAAAAUUCAAUCAAUUCCUGCAUAUUUCUCUCUCUCCUCUUUGCAUCCUUUGUCAGUUCGAGUACAAAAUACAAGUUGUGUUCGUGGUGUUCUACAGAUUGAAGUGCUGCUUUUGUAGAACUGAAAAUCCGUUCUAUCUUGGGAGACAUUUAUUCACUACUUGAGCACCAGAGAGGGAAUAAAAUUGUCUUAAAGAAACAGUGUUGUCAUUGGGCUCGAAUUCAUAGAAUUAAAGUAAGUUCUGUAAUUUCAUUUAUUUUAUUUACAUACUUAUUUAAUGUUUACUUAAAGUAUAAACUGUAAAAAGAUUUUAUUGUUAACAUGGUUUGCUUUUUGCAUCUACUCCCCUUCAUUUUUAUGUAAUUCACCAUUCUCUUCCUCUACAAAGAAUCAAACAUGGCAUUCACAAUUUGAAAAGCUUGACCCAUCAAAAACAAUACAUCGAGGCCCUCAAACGCACCACACAAGAGCCACGUGUCAUCCUUUUUCUUUUUUCUUUUUCCUUCUUUUGAUAUUAAAAUUUUAUUUAUUUUUUAUUUUUUAUUUCUCCAUUCUCCAAUAAUUCAUCAAAAUUCCAAUUUUUAAAUUUAAUUUUCAAGAUUUUAAUUUUAAUUUAAUUUUCAAAACUCCAAUUUUUAAGUUUAAUUUUCAAAACUUCAAUUUUUAAAUCUAAUUUUCAAAAAUCUAAUUUUCCAAACUUUAAUUUUCAAAUUUAAAUUUUAAAAUUUCAAAUUUUAAAUAAUUUUCCAAAACUUCAAUUUUCAAAAUUCUCAAAUUCAUUUAUUUAAUAAUAAUAAUAAUAAUUAUUAUUAUUAUAUUUAUUUAUUUAUUUUUUAAAUUCCACUAUCAAAUAAUUCUUCAAAAUUCCAUUUUCUUAAAUUUAGUUUUCAAACUUCCAUUUUAAAAAUUUUUUGAAAUUUCGAUUAUUAAAUUUAAUUUUUUAAACUUCCAUUUUUAAUUAAUUAUUCAAAUUUUAAUUUUCACAUUUAUUUAUUUAAUUAUUGCUAUUAUUAUUAUUUUAUUUUAUUUUUUUAUUUUUAAAUUACAUUCUCAAAUAAUUCUUCAAAUUUUCAUUUUUUUUAAAUUUAAUCUUCAAGAUUUCCAUUUUCAAAUAAUUCUUUUUUAAAAUUUCAAAUAAUUUCAGAACUUUAAUUUUCUUUCAAAUAAUCUUAAUUUCACUCCAAUUUUCAAAUAUUUUUUUAAUUAACCACUUUUUAUCCUUACUAAAAAUUCUAUUUUUAAAUAAACUUGCUAUAUUUCCUUUCAGGGAAGCACCAUAAAUUUUCUUCGAUUUUAAAAUAAUUUUCCGUUUUUCUUGAUUUCUAACAAGCAUGAAGACAAUUUUCAUAAUUCCAAAAUAAUGGAAUUUGUGGGAUUAAUUUAUACAAAAUCAAUUGGGCUUUGGUGGGGCCCAACAUUCAUAACAUUUGUUUUUAAAAUAAUUUAAGUGAAUUGUAUAGUUAAUAUUGUUUGAUUUUGAUUGGUUUUAUGUGAAAUAUUUUACACUUAUCAUUGUACACCAACCUUGUUUCAUGAUAACACUUUAUUAUAUGUUGUCAAGCUACGAUCUUAUUCCUACUUUGCUUAUUCCUAUGCAUGAUUCGUUUUAUUAUUUGAUCUAUGAUCAUUUUGAUAUUUGUUGAUUUCUUUAUCAAUUAUCACACUUACUUCACCUUAUUUAGUAGAAACCAAUUUUUAAGAGCUUAGAGGAUCCUACGAUUUUUAUCGUACAUUUCCAAUAAGUAAUCUGAUCUUACCUUCAAAUUCUGAUAUUAUCUUCAAUUAGACAAUUUUUCUUAAAACUUCACUAAGAAACACAAUAUCAAAUUUGCUUAUUAUACGUUCUCCUUAUAUACCUCAAAAACCUAAGGGUUCCUUUGUUAGGUUUGUCCAUGAAAGGUGAGUCAAAGCCUAAGAUCAAGUCGAAAGGCAUAGUUGAUGGGUAAUAAGUGAAUAUUCUUGUAUUAUCCCUUGUUAGUCUCGAAAAAUCGAAAAGCAACCCCAUUUUUCACCUUAAAUUAAUCAAAAUAAGUAAAAUUUCUUGCUUUUUGUAAAUGAGUAGAUUUAAUAACUAGGGGUCUAUGGCUAACUGAUAUAAAAUAAUUUAAAUAAAAAAUAUACAAAAUCUAAUCAUUAAUAACCCUGAAUUAAAAUUAAGAAAAUUAUCUUCAAAAGAAUAUGUGCUAAUAGCAUAUUAUAAAAUAAUGAGUAAACUAAAAAUAAAAGAAAGUAAAAAAAAAAGAAGAUGGAGAGAAUUUGAGACGAUGUUUUUUUAGAGAAGGAUGUUAAUACGUGGAUGGAACAAUGCUUUUAUAAGCUUACGUAAAGAAAAAGUAGAUAUCUCCAUUAACUUACUGUUAAUAGAUCAAGUAGAUUUAGUUACUACUGAGUCAUUUUCAAGCACCCGAGUGAACUCAUCUAAAUAUUUGGUUUGCAACUUCACAUUUCCAAAGAUUUCCCUCAUUGCCCAUGCAUUUCUCCUAAGUUGCUCUCCUUCUUCUUCCACCAUAACUCGUUUUAUUGACUUACUCACUGAGUCGCCUGUAAAUGAUCCAUCUCGCUUGUCCCUCGGUACUUCCAACCCGACUCGCUUGCCUUCAAGGAGUCUUGCCACCAACCCCAGAUCUGAAGAAGGCCCGGGGAAAAGAAUCAGCACCCGACCCAACCCGAGAGCCUCGAUCACGGAGCUCCAUCCACAGUGGGUCAAGAAUCCACGAACUGAUGGGUGAGCCAAGAUUUGCUUUUGUGGAGCCCAAUUGGCCCAAACUAAACCACGACCUGAAACCCGACCCUCAAACCCGGUUAUAAUCGGAUCAUCUUUGGUUUUAACCACCCAAAUGAAGGGUAAGCCGGAUUUCUCUAUUCCAGAUGCCAACUCGUUCAUUUCGUCCUGACUCAGAGUCAACUCACUACCGAGUGCAACGUAAAGGACGGAGUUUUCGGUUUUCUCGUCAAGCCAUUGUCUUAACGAGCCCCAGCUCUCGUCUCCCUCGCUGUCGUUCACCUCCGUCGGAAGCAACCCUAUCGGAACGACAGGCUUUUGGUAGAGAUUUUCGAGGAGACUCAGUGAAUCACCCUCUAACUCGGCGCAGCUCCUGGUAGCUACAAAUCGGCAGCCUUCAAUCACCUUUGCCAAUCGGAAGAAAUCGGAAGCUUCCGAGUCCAUGCAGUCCUGGAUGCGGGUCACCUCGUGGAUCCUGAAAGCGACGGUGGACGGAAACGGGAUCCACUCAGGAACCACGGUUAAGUUCUCCACCUGCUGUUGACAGCGGCGGAGAAUCUCCUCCGGCGAGCCCAUGAAAGCGAGUGUGCUGGCAUUGAAAAUGCUGAAGAAGACUGAGUUGAUACCGAGUCGAGAGGCGAUUGGGGGCAACCAGUGAGGAGCAAAGUCAUAGAUGAGCCAGUUGACAUCGGAGUUGUGUAGAAACUGAGUGAGAGGGAGUUGGAGCUGGUCGUAGGCUCGUUUCAGAUAGGGGACUAGGUGGAAGGGCAACUCGGAGGUGGACUCGGCGGAGUCGGGCAAGCCAUGGACGGGAGACAGAGGCAGUGGCACCAUGGUUACAAGCGAGGAUAAAUUUGGAGCAAUUUGAGAGAGGCGACGAAGGUUUUUAGGGGUGGAGAGGAAGGAAAUGCGGUGACCCAUUUGAACUAAGUGGUUGGAGAGAUGAAGAAAAGGCAAGAAGUGGCCAAAUGCCAGCCAUGGGAACACAGCUAUGUGAAGCUUCUGAUGCUCCUUCUUCAUCUCAUCCAUGGCAAUGGGGUUGUGAGUUGUGAGAGAAAUCAAGAUUCAAGACUUCUGGGUAGCGCAGUGAUGUGAGGCUGAA